rnacentral:rRNA from 1 species
AACAUCUGCCUCGCAUCGGGAGCCCCCGGGCUAUCCGGCCUCUAAACCCCCCUCAAGCCCGCUCCGGCGGCACCAAGGUUGACCUCGGAUCAGGUAGGAAUACCCGCUGAACUUAAGCAUAUCAAUAAGCGGAGGAAAAGAAACCAACAGGGAUUGCCUCAGUAACGGCGAGUGAAGCGGCAACAGCUCAAAUUUGAAAUCUGGCUCCUUCGGGGCCCGAGUUGUAAUUUGCAGAGGAUGCUUCGGGUACGGGUUCCUUCCGAGUUCCCUGGAACGGGACGCCAUAGAGGGUGAGAGCCCCGUCUGGUAGGACACCCAGCCCGUGUGAAGCUCCCUCGACGAGUCGAGUAGUUUGGGAAUGCUGCUCUAACGGGAGGUAUACUCCUUCCAAGGCUAAAUACCGGCUGGAGACCGAUAGCGCACAAGUAGAGUGAUCGAAAGAUGAAAAGCACUUUGAAAAGAGAGUCAAAUAGCACGUGAAAUUGUUGAAAGGGAAGCGCUCGCUACCAGACAUGGGUUCGGCGGUUCAACCGGGGCCACGCCCCGGGGCACUCCGCCGGCCCAGGCCAGCAUCAGCUUUCCGUCGGGGGCAAAGGCGUCGGGAAUGUGGCUCUCCUUCGGGGGAGUGUUAUAGCCCGGCGUGUCAUACCCUUCGGGGGGCUGAGGUACGCGCUCUG